rnacentral:rRNA from 1 species
AUUGAACGCUGGCGGCAGGCCUAACACAUGCAAGUCGAGCGGAUGAAGGGAGCUUGCUCCUGGAUUCAGCGGCGGACGGGUGAGUAAUGCCUAGGAAUCUGCCUGGUAGUGGGGGAUAACGUCCGGAAACGGGCGCUAAUACCGCAUACGUCCUGAGGGAGAAAGUGGGGGAUCUUCGGACCUCCCGCUAUCAGAUGAGCCUAGGUCGGAUUAGCUAGUUGGUGGGGUAAAGGCCUACCAAGGCGACGAUCCGUAACUGGUCUGAGAGGAUGAUCAGUCACAAUGGAACUGAGACACGGUCCAGACUCCUACGGGAGGCAGCAGUGGGGAAUAUUGGAAAAUGGGCGAAAGCCUGAUCCAGCCAUGCCGCGUGUGUGAAGAAGGUCUUCGGAUUGUAAAGCACUUUAAGUUGGGAGGAAGGGCAGUAAGUUAAUACCUUGCUGUUUUGACGUUACCAACAGAAUAAGCACCGGCUAACUUCGUG